CUCCAAACUAUUGAAAUAAGUUAAAUAACGUAUUGUUAGAAUUUGAAUGCCCUGGCAUAUUAAGCUGAAGGCAAAGAUGCGUAAAAUAUUGACCGGGUGCAUACUGUAUAAGAUAACAACUGAGUGGGAGGUCUUUCGUUGAAAUUAUUUUCUUGAAUUUCAAUCGAAGACUAACCACGAGUUGUAAUGUUGUAAUCACGUCUAUUUUCUAUUGUUUUCAAGAGGUUUUUGCUUUUUGGAUAAGUUUCUCUUUGUGUUUUUGACAAAGUGAACGGUCCUAAAUCAACGAAAUAAUUA